rnacentral:lncRNA from 1 species
GUUGAUACAGUGUUUUGGGUGAACUUGACUGUGGUUUUCUUAACUAUUUUCUGAAUUGUUAGUACAACGAUGUCUCUUUACAAUAGUUACUGCACAGAGGCGGUCUUAUUUGAUCUUCUUCUCAAAAAAGGCUGUUUCUUUGUUGUUCUCAGGAAGGCGAAAUAUUCUUCCAUUUUCAGCCCAGCAGAGUGGAAUUUAUACCCAAACAUCCUCAUCAGAUUGACAAAGCAUCCUGCAGGGACAUCAUGGAGCUCAUUUAAUCUCUGGGAGAGGUGUUUGAUGAGUGGAAGGGUAAUGCCAGGACUUCAGCCACAGAAGUCUUGGCUUUCUGGCAUGAGCAAUAAGAGCUGA